AUGAUGUUCUUGGCGUGCUGCUACAACGACCCGGACAUGCUCAUCGAUCCGGAGACCAUCUACCCCACCCGCGCCGACUGCACCGACGCCCCCAAGUCCCGCUUCAAGCCCAUGCCUCGCCGCACGCUGAGUCCGAGGAGAUGGAAGCUGCUGUUCAACGAGGAGGGCUGCCUCGACGCGGCUGGAAUGAUCAUGAGAGUACAGCGUGGGGGUGUCCACCCAAAUAUCAAAGGAGAAGUUUGGGAGUAUUUGCUGGGUUGUUACGACCCUAAAAGCACUACUGAACAGAGGAACCAGUUGCGGCAACAGAGAAGGUUAGAAUAUGAGAAACUGAAAACAAAGUGCCGAGAGAUGGACACAACAGUUGGUAGUGGAAGGGUAAUUACUAUGCCUGUCAUAACAGAAGAUGGCCAGCCUAUCGAGGAUCCUAACGCGACUGGAGAACAACCAACCAAUAAUGGACCGCUCACGAAAGAAGUUAUUCAAUGGAAACUUCUUCUGCACCAAAUUGGUCUCGAUGUUAAUCGAACUGACCGUACACUAGUUUAUUACGAGAGCCAGGAGAACUUGGCACGACUGUGGGACAUUCUUACAGUGUACGCAUGGGUGGACACUGACAUCGGUUACUGUCAGGGAAUGAGUGAUCUUUGUUCACCAAUAUCAAUCAUUUUGGAACAUGAAGCGGAUGCUUUUUGGUGCUUUGAACGGCUGAUGCGCAGAGUGCGUGAAAAUUUCAAGAGUACUUCUACCUCAAUUGGAGUUCGAUCUCAGCUGACCACCUUGUCAACAAUAAUGAAAACUGUUGAUCCAAAGCUACAUGAGCAUUUAGAAAAUCUUGAUGGAGGUGAAUACUUAUUUGCCUUUCGGAUGCUGAUGGUUAUUUUUCGUAGAGAGUUCUCUUUUAUAGACACAAUGUACCUUUGGGAGCUCAUGUGGUCUAUGGAGUACAAUCCAGGUUUUUUUUCAAUGUUGGAGAGUAACACGGGCCCACCAAAUGAAAAAGAUGAAAAUACCCUAAAACAGUGUGGAAAGUUUGAAAGGAAAAAAUUGCAGGCAGCCAAGCAAGAGGAGCAGAUCCCUCUAUCGGUCUUUGUUGUAGCUAGCGUCAUAGAGGCUAGAAACAAGCGGUUACUGGGGGAGGCAAAAGGUCUCGACGAUGUCGUCAAGAUUUUGAAUGAAAUCACUGGAAGCCUGGAUGCAAAAAAGGCAUGUAGAGGGGCAUUGACAAUUCAGGAGAAGUACCUAACCACAGUAAAAGCAUCAUAG
rnacentral:rRNA from 1 species